UUCUAAUAACUGGUCAGGACAUCAUUUAAUCUCUUGGCUCUCUUGUUUAGGAAGAAUGGGUCACUUGCAAGGGCCAAUCAAGUACAAAAUAAAAAUACCCAUAUCUCAAACUAAGAAUGCACAGCUUUAAAUAGCAUUCAAAAUGUUUCUAGAUCUUUUUUUUUGUUGUUUUUCAGAUGGGAGGAAUUUACAGUAUUUGGCCUGUCGGAGAACAAAGAACACACCAGCUUCAGUGGACUGAUUAUGGAUACCUUCUACCUGCACAAUACCUUCUACCUGAGAAAACUGCUGCUCAACUCAGAGAUCUCUCUCAAAGGUCAGAAUCCUGACCUGAAGUGAUUUCUUCGCUUCAAAGAACUGAUGUCAGCUAUGAACAUAAUCAAACACAUAUAUAUGGUAAAACACAUACAAUAUUUUUUAAAAAGAUGUUAUUUCUGCCAUAUCCUGUCAAAUCUGAGCCUCUAUCUUUCUCACAUUUUCCCCUUCCUUUGCCUUGUAUGUAGGUAAGAAAAAAGAUUGUUAUUUGAUAAAAACCAGUCUAGUCUUAGCUAAUGCAAUAAGACAAGAAAACGAGAGGGAAAAAAAAAAGAUGUACAGUUUGAGAAAGAAGAUGUAAAAUUAUCUUCAUUCUCGGAUGACAUGGUCAUCAAUGUAGAAAAUCUGGAAGAGAGUACCUGGUGGCUCACUCGGUUAAUUAUCUGACUCUUAGUUUCAGCUCAGGUCAUGAUCUCAGGGUUAUGAGAUCAAGCACUGUGUCAGGCUCCCUGUUGGGCAUGGAGCCUGCUUAAGACUCUGUCUCUCCUUCUCCCUCUGCAACUUGACAUCCUUCUCUUCAAAAAAAAAAAAAAAAAAAGAGAGAGAGAGAAAAUCCAGAAGAAUUGACAAAGUAACUUCUAGAACUAAUGAGCAAUUAUACCAAGGUUGCAGGAUACAAGGAUAAUGUACAAAAACCAAUCACUUUCCUGUGUAGUAGCAAUGAACAAGUGGAAUUUGAAAUUAAAAACACAAUUCCAUUUACACUAGUGCCCUCAAAGUUAAUUACUUAGGUUAUAAAUUUAAUAAAAUAUUUAUACAUCUGUAUGAGGAAACCUACAAACUCUGAUGAACAAUUAGAGAAUAAAAUAAAUGAAGAGAUAUUUUGUGCUCAUGGAAAGGAAGAUUCAAUAUUGUCAAGAUAUUUGUUCUUCCAAAUUUGAUCUAUAGAUUAAAUGUAAUCCAAAUCAAAAUCCUAGCAAGUUAUUUGAUGGACAUUGACAAACUAAUCCUAAAGUUUAUAUGGAGAGGUAAAAGACCCAGAAUAGCCAGCACCAUAUUGAAGAUAAAGAACAAAGUUGGAGGACUGACACUACCUGAUUUCAAGAUUAGUAAAUUAGUGAAACUACAGUAAUCAAGACAGUGUGGUAUUGGUAUCUUUGACAAAGGAACAAAAGCAAUACAGUGGAGAAAAGAUCAUCUUUUCAACAAAUGAUCCUAGAAACAAGCAGAUACCCACAUGAGAAAAAUGAAGCUAAAUAAAGAUGUUACACUCUUCACAAAAAUUAAAUCAAAAUUGUUCAUGAUUGUGAAACUGUCAGUGCUACCCAGGGCAAUUUACACAUUUAAU
rnacentral:lncRNA from 1 species